GAACCACCCGAUCCCAUCCCGAACUCGGAAGUGAAACGACUCAGCGCCGAUGAUAGUGUGGGGCCUCCCCAUGCGAAAGUAGGUCACUGCCAGGC
rnacentral:rRNA from 1 species